AACGAACGCUGGCGGCGUGCCUGAGACAUGCAAGUCGUGGGAGAAAGUCGGAGCAAUCCGGCUAGUAAACCGGCGCACGGGUGAGUAACACGUGGACAACCUGCCUUGGAGUUCGGGAUAACCCGUCGAAAGACGGACUAAUACCGGAUAUGACCACGGGGAUUCGCUCUCUGAGGUAAAAGAUGGCCCCUGCUCCUGCAAGCUAUCUCUUCGAGAGGGGUCCGCGUCCUANCAGCUAGUUGGUGAGGUAACGGCUCACCAAGGCUAAGACGGGUAGCUGGUCU
rnacentral:rRNA from 1 species